AUUGAACGCUGGCGGCAGGCCUAACACAUGCAAGUCGAGCGGUAGAGAGGAGCUUGCUUCUCUUGAGAGCGGCGGACGGGUGAGUAAUGCCUAGGAAUCUGCCUGGUAGUGGGGGAUAACGUUCGGAAACGGACGCUAAUACCGCAUACGUCCUACGGGAGAAAGUGGGGGAUCUUCGGACCUCACGCUAUCAGAUGAGCCUAGGUCGGAUUAGCUAGUUGGUGAGGUAAAGGCUCACCAAGGCGACGAUCCGUAACUGGUCUGAGAGGAUGAUCAGUCACACUGGAACGGAGACACGGCCCAGACUACUACGGGAGGCAGCAGUGGGGAAUAUUGGACAAUGGGCGCAAGCCUGAUCCAGCCAUGCCGCGUGUGUGAAGAAGGUCUUCGGAUUGUAAAGCACUUUAAGUUGGGAGGAAGGUCAGUAGCUUAAUACGUUGCUGAUUUGACGUUACCGACAGAAUAAGCACCGGCUAACUCUGUGCCAGCCGCCGCGGUAAAAC
rnacentral:rRNA from 1 species